UACGUAGGGGGCAAGCGUUGUCCGGAAUCAUUGGGCGUAAAGAGCGUGUAGGCGGCCCGGUAAGUCCGCUGUGAAAGUCCAGGGCUCAACCCUGAAUGCCGGUGGAAACUGUCGGGCUAGAGUCCGGAAGAGGCGAGUGGAAUUCCUGGUGUAGCGGUGAAAUGCGCAGAUAUCAGGAGGAACACCAAUGGCGAAGGCAGCUCGCUGGGACGGUACUGACGCUGAGGAGCGAAAGCAUGGGGAGCGAACAGG
rnacentral:rRNA from 1 species